GCCUGGACGGGGCUGCUGCUCAGGCUCUAACAAUUCAGCACGUGGCCCCCACCCCGCCCCAGCCAGGGCAGCUCGUCCCGCACCCCCAAAACCCAGCAGGACAACAGAACCCAGGGGCCGGCCGGGGGGUGGGGCAGGCCGGGCAGAGCCCAGGCAGGAGAGGGUAGGGGAGCUGCAAGGGGGCAGGGUGGGGUGGGCUUCAGGGGGAGGCACAGGGAGGAUGUGCUGCCUGGGAACAUCCUUGAAAGGGUCAAAGACGUUGUUCUGAUCUUCCGUCCCAGGAGGGGUACCAGGCCCACCCCAGCCGGGGCCGCCGGGCCGCCAGGCAGAGCCCGAGAGGCAAAGGUGCCAGAGGAACCCAGGCUGUGCACGCCAGCUCAGCGCUUGCCAUGGGCAUCCCUCUCACAUGAACGCAGCUCAUGUUUUAGCUGGAAAACAGAGAGAGGUUUGGAGGAUUCUAAUAAAAGUCACCCGGGAGCCCCCUGCCGGGGGGCCCCUCUGGGUGUCCCCUCGCGGCCAUGAUAAAGGGCCGAGGGCUCUGCCAGGCAGCCCCAGCACAGGCAUCUUCUCCUGGCCCGGGAUCCUGCAGAAGAGCACAAGGGCUGCAGAGCAGAGGCCGGACGACGCCAGCUCUCAGAGUCAGCACCAACCCCGUCAGGGUGACCACUGGGGACCCAUCCACGCCACAGAGAGGUGACAGGUGAUACGCGUCCUGCGUCUCUGCUCCUUCCAGCCAGCUCCCCAGAACAGCAGGGCCAACCACCCUGGGCCUGGCCUCCUCCUGCUUCCUCCACACAGGCUCUGGACUCAGGCUCCGGCCGAGCCGAGGUACCACCCAACCGUGGAAUGACCGACGGGAGAGCAUCCGCCUGGGGCCUCCUGGGAGGGAUGGGCGGCACAGACGGGGGCGCAGGGGGAAGGCGCUUCGGACAGUGGAUGGCAGUGCCACGGCCUGACCGUCCCCAACUCCCUCCUCCCGCCCAGCCUCGUUUCCUCAUCUCUAAAAUGGAGCCAAGAGGCAGACCCGGGUCCUGGAGUCCUUGGGGGCUUAACCACCCGCCCGCCCUGAGCACUGAGAACCCGGUCCUUUGUUCUGGGGCGACCUGCAGGGAGCCAGGGGAGAGGGGACAGGCGCUCAAGAGAGGAAGCCGAGAAGCAGGGGUUGGGAAGGGGAGACCUAGAGAGAGACCCAGACCAGACCAGACCAGACCAGGGUGCUCAGAAGACCAGCUCAACCAGAUGGCAGCCCAGGAAGGGUGCGCCCCCUCCCGCCCCCACCACACAGGACAGGCUCCGUCGGAACGCACCAGCAGGGGACGGGUGGCUGGGUGCCCAACGGGUCCCAAGAAACGACGCCGGAAAGAAAGCCCAGCUGCCCGUGGGGGCCAAACAUUCCCCAUCCAGGCCGGGAGAAGGAGGAUCCCAGGACGAUGCACAGCCUGCAGCCCAGACCCAGGACCGGCCCACCGCAGAUCCACAGGUUUAAAGGGCACCGGCGAGAGCUGGCAUCACGGGCCCCAAGACCAAACUUCUGAGAAGCCCGGAAGAGGGGGUCCCGGAGCUCUCUCCUGCCAUGCUCUGGGGGUCGGAGGUGAACCUUCUGGGACUCUCUGCGCACGCCCCUGGGACCGCACCUACGCCCCUGGGACGGCACCUAGACCUAAACUUCAUCCCAGGCCCCACCCCGCCCCAGCCCCAGCCAUGCCCACGGCUGCAGGGCAGUCCAGCUGUCCAGAGGGGACGCUACCAGUUGGAGACACAGUCACGUGGCUUGGCAUGUGGCCCUGGCCCAGGAUUAUUUAG
rnacentral:lncRNA from 1 species